AUUGAACGCUGGCGGCAUGCCUUACACAUGCAAGUCGAACGGUAACGCGGGGCAACCUGGCGACGAGUGGCGAACGGGUGAGUAAUGUAUCGGAACGUGCCCAGUUGUGGAGGAUAACUGCUCGAAAGAGCAGCUAAUACCGCAUACGACCUGAGGGUGAAAGCGGGGGAUCGCAAGACCUCGCGCAAUCGGAGCGGCCGAUAUCAGAUUAGGUAGUUGGUGGGGUAAAGGCUCACAAAGCCAACGAUCUGUAGCUGGUCUGAGAGGACGACCAGCCACACUGGGAGUGAGACACGGCCCAGACGCCUACGGGAGGGAGCAGUGGGGAAUUUUGGACAAUGGACGCAAGUCUGAUCCAGCCAUGCCGCGUGCGGGAAGAAGGCCUUCGGGUUGUAAACCGCUUUUGUCAGGGAAGAAACGCUCUGGGUUAAUACCUCGGGGUAAUGACGGUACCUGAAGAAUAAGCACCGGCUAACUACGUGCCAGCAGCCGCGGUAACAC
rnacentral:rRNA from 1 species